CCUACGGGCGGCAGCAGUGAGGAAUAUUGGUCAAUGGGCGGAAGCCUGAACCAGCCAAGCAGCGUGCAGGAUGACGGCCCUACGGGUUGUAAACUGCUUUUAUACGGGAAUAACGCGCCUUACGUGUAGGUCUUUGCGUGUACCGUAUGAAUAAGGACCGGCUAACUCCGUGCCAGCAGCCGCGGUAAUACGGAAGGUCCGGGCGUUAUCCGGAUUUAUUGGGUUUAAAGGGAGCGUAGGCCGCCUGUCAAGCGUGCUGUGAAAUGUCCGGGCUCAACCCGGGCCUGGCAGCGCGAACUGGCGGGCUUGAGUGCGAGGGAAGCAGGCGGAAUUCGUCGUGUAGCGGUGAAAUGCUUAGAUAUGGCGAAGAACCCCGAUUGCGAAGGCAGCUUGCUGGAGCGGAACUGACGCUGAUGCUCGAAAGCGCGGGUAUCGAACAGGAUUAGAUACCCGUGUAGUC
rnacentral:rRNA from 1 species